GGCGGUGCGGGAGGCGGGCUGGUCCCGCCGGCGGCGCCCUCCGGAUGUCAGCAGGGCAGCAUCAGUCUUGUUCGUCGGCCCGGAGCAGCUACAGGGGGUGGGCCGUGCCUGGCCGUGUCUUCAUCACCCGCGUUCGAUUUCUCCGCGGAGUGCCGUAGGGAGAGCGGGCAGCCCCGCGGCGGGGCCCGGGAGCGCCGGGGCGCCGUCUGGGCAGCCCCGGCCGCGGCGACUCGGGGGACGUCGGGGCCGCGGCCGCUGCGGUCGGGGCGCCCCGGCAGAGCGGGAUGGGACGCUCAGAGGAUCUCCGCGCCAUGACCGGGAGCGAGGGCAGAAGGCGGCGGUCGCUUCCGCUCCCCCCGGCGACUUGGGUGUCGUGCCGGCGGCUCUUGGUGACUUCACCCGUCGGUAGCACGCCGGGCCUCUGCACUCACGGCCCCCGAGAGCGGUGAAUGCCAGGCAGUAUUUGUUCCCAAAGUCAUGGCGCAGAGAAUAGCGCAUACGGAAAUUGGCCGGGUAGCUUUUAAAUGCGUCUGCAUCACAAUAUUUGCAAUACACAGCACAAAACAUAAAGCUAGUUUUGCAAAGACAAGUAGCAUCCUUAGUCUUUUAGCAAGCUUAGCUAUCUUGCUGGGUAUCUUCGUUUGUUGUAAUUAAUUCUCAUUUGAAAUCAGGAUCUGGAAUUUGGUCCUUUUUCUAGGAAUACUGUCCAGUUUUGAAGAUGGGGCCUGGAGCUGCAUUGGGACAUGGAGAACCAGAUUCAAAGUGCAAGAAACGAGAAUGAGGAAUAGCAGUCCUGCUUAUUUGUUCCCAUAGUUAGUGGUCUGCAUUGGAAAGGAGCUUUUGGAUGAAAAUCAACUACAGCGUCAGCUCGCUAUUGCAAAUUCUAUACAAAUCUAAUUUGUCUAAGGAUUUGCUAUCAAAGUUUUCAAGAAUUUGAAAGGAACUUUGAGAAAGUGACCGGCAUGUUUGCCGUUUCUAGUCUUCAUUAUCCGCUGUGAAUUUUGUAAGGUAACUGUUAACACUUCUAAAAAAAAAAAAAAACAUUUCAAUAAUACAGCUUAAUAUACAUGCUGGAGCAUCUUCUAAUAUACAAAGGAGCAUCUUCUGGGAUUUGAAGAACCAGCCACUAAAGCAUCCCUCCUGUGUAGCAGUUGCAAAUAUUUGUAGCCUUCUUAAUGUUCUUAACACGCAUGUGCAAACUUGGAUUUCACAUUACACACAACAUUUCUAACGUACUCAUAGUUACAGUGUUUUCUAUGUACAACCUUUUAUCUAUAAUGUUGCAUAAUAAAGAGAUUCUGUCAGGUAAGGUAUAAUUUUUUCUGAUUCUGUGGUUUUGGUUCUACAACAGAUUUUCAAAUAAAAUAUACAGAAUUCUCAUCUAUAAAAUACAGAGAGGUGCAGAAAUAAAAAACAACUUGCAAAAGUAGAUUUAAA